UACGUAGGUGGCAAGCGUUAUCCGGAUUUAUUGGGCGUAAAGCGAGCGCAGGUGGUUUAUUAAGUCUGGUGUAAGAGGCAGUGGCUCAACCAUUGUAUGCAUUGGAAACUGGUAGACUUGAGUGCAGGAGAGGAGAGUGGAAUUCCAUGUGUAGCGGCGAAAUGCGUAGAUAUCAGGAGGAACACCGGUGGCGAAGGCGGCCUGCUGGACUGCAACUGACGUUGAGGCCCGAAAGCGUGGGGAGCAAACAGG
rnacentral:rRNA from 1 species